AUCCAUGACUCCAUGGGGGCUGCCGCCUGUGGCUGUCCCCCUUCCUAGGCAUGGAAGAGCAGCUUCUUGCUAAUUGGCAAAACUUUUAUUCUCUUGUGGAUAUUAGUCGUUGACUGUGGCAAGGAACAGGC
rnacentral:snoRNA from 1 species